rnacentral:lncRNA from 1 species
GCCAUUGUAAUGCUGUAAUGAGGAGUUAGGUAGAGAAUAAUUUCAAAUCAUGCAUUCAACUUUUUAUGUGUUCAGUGGAGUGGAGUAAGUGGAGAAUCUAUGUUACAAAAAUUGAGUGGAAAACAAGUUGAAUUCUUGGUAGCCGAUGAGAGUGGUUUGCCUUCAGCUUUAUUCUUCAUGAUUAUAAUACUUAUCCCUAGAUAUCCACAUAAAGUUAUUGGCCCAAGUAUUUUAAAGCAGAAGUCCAUUUGUAAUUGAGAAAGCAAGCUUGCUUCCAUCCGUGAAUUGUAAGAAAAUCGCAUUUAUAACAGUAAUCGUAUAAAAUUGUACAAUUUAUGCAGUACGGUUAUGCAGUGUAAUUUUUAUUUUUUUAUUAACCGUACAUUGUGAUUGCAGUUACGGAUACACCCCUUAAAACGAACUGCACUUUUUAGUAAAUUCGCAUUUCACCUACUUUAAUUUUCAAAUUACUAGUAGUAUUUGUAUAUUCUAUUGUGCAUACAGAUGAGAUGACUAUCUAAGCAGAGAAUGCAGUCAGGACUUACUCAACUGCAUGGGCAAUUUCAAGAGAAGCGAAGGCAAAUCAUUCGAGGGAAAUACCUGCCAAGUGAAUGAUGUUAUUCAAGUCAUCACCGUCUCCAUGGAUGCUGCUUUGCUUGCUCGAAGACUCCAUAAACCUUAAUUCAUCAUUACUCCACUUAAUAAUGCAUUAUGCUUGGAUAUCAUGCUUUUAAUUUCAAAUAUACAGAUAGGCACACUAGUAAAGAAGGGAAAAAAAUGAUUCUUCCUUUAAUUUGUGGAAUUUCCCCCGAAUUAUUAAUGGGAAUUACAUAAUACUCACAGGAACUUCUUGUAGGGCCUCCCUACAUCCUCAUCUUGCAUAUGCUGUCAAAAAAUGCUAAAAUAUUAAGAUCCAAGUUACGGAAGAUUUAAUCAAGUUCAAACAAAGUUGAAAAGAAUAUAAACACAUGAAAUCAUCAAUCACCAUUUCUCUACUUGAAAAAAAGAAAAUAAAAUAAAUGUACUGUUAACAUUAAAUCCCCUUCCAAACCAUAAGAUGGGCAAACCCUCUCCCCUCGGUCUUCCUUCUAUAGACCUCAACACCCUACCCCAACCUCCAAGCAUUACAACGGCUCCAAUGAGCUCCCCNNNNNNNNNNNNNNNNNNNNNNNNNNNNNNNNNNNNNNNNNNNNNNNNNNNNNNNNNNNNNNNNNNNNNNNNNNNNNNNNNNNNNNNNNNNNNNNNNNNNAUUGAGUGGAAAACAAGUUGAAUUCUUGGUAGCCGAUGAGAGUGGUUUGCCUUCAGCUUUAUUCUUCAUGAUUAUAAUACUUAUCCCUAGAUAUCCACAUAAAGUUAUUGGCCCAAGUAUUUUAAAGCAGAAGUCCAUUUGUAAUUGAGAAAGCAAGCUUGCUUCCAUCCGUGAAUUGUAAGAAAAUCGCAUUUAUAACAGUAAUCGUAUAAAAUUGUACAAUUUAUGCAGUACGGUUAUGCAGUGUAAUUUUUAUUUUUUUAUUAACCGUACAUUGUGAUUGCAGUUACGGAUACACCCCUUAAAACGAACUGCACUUUUUAGUAAAUUCGCAUUUCACCUACUUUAAUUUUCAAAUUACUAGUAGUAUUUGUAUAUUCUAUUGUGCAUACAGAUGAGAUGACUAUCUAAGCAGAGAAUGCAGUCAGGACUUACUCAACUGCAUGGGCAAUUUCAAGAGAAGCGAAGGCAAAUCAUUCGAGGGAAAUACCUGCCAAGUGAAUGAUGUUAUUCAAGUCAUCACCGUCUCCAUGGAUGCUGCUUUGCUUGCUCGAAGACUCCAUAAACCUUAAUUCAUCAUUACUCCACUUAAUAAUGCAUUAUGCUUGGAUAUCAUGCUUUUAAUUUCAAAUAUACAGAUAGGCACACUAGUAAAGAAGGGAAAAAAAUGAUUCUUCCUUUAAUUUGUGGAAUUUCCCCCGAAUUAUUAAUGGGAAUUACAUAAUACUCACAGGAACUUCUUGUAGGGCCUCCCUACAUCCUCAUCUUGCAUAUGCUGUCAAAAAAUGCUAAAAUAUUAAGAUCCAAGUUACGGAAGAUUUAAUCAAGUUCAAACAAAGUUGAAAAGAAUAUNNNNNNNNNNNNNNNNNNNNNNNNNNNNNNNNNNNNNNNNNNNNNNNNNNNNNNNNNNNNNNNNNNNNNNNNNNNNNNNNNNNNNNNNNNNNNNNNNNNNAUGCUAUGUGGAGCAAAAAUGGGUGCAUUAUUAGCAGUAGGAUUUUAAGUAGAAAUUACAUGACAAAAAUAUGAUUGAAACCUUGACUUUUGCUACAAAUACAUGCAGGAAAUAGCAUCACUAAUUUUGAGACAAAUUUUAUUACAGCAAAGAGAUCAGAGCAGGUAUGCCAUGAACAAAUUUGCAUUACACUUCAGCAAAAAAAAUUAUGCUACAUAACAAUCAAACCAAACCUGCAAUGAAGAAUUCAUACAAUCAUCGUUUAAUAAGAAAUUCAAGAUUUAACGUCACGAGUAUUCCUAUUUUUAAAUUGGCCAAAUCAUGAUAAAAGAAUUAGUUAUUACAACACCAAAAUCAUAUGGGUUCCUACUUCCUAUUAAGUUUUCAACAUGACACUUCCCUCAGACACUGUGUUACCACAUUGCCAUAUGCUUACAGUGAUGUUUCUCACAUUAGAAGCUCUAAAACCACAUGCGUCAAUGGACCGAAUGAACUUCAGUCAAAGCCAAAAGUUUUCAAAGAUCUUCUUUACAAUAGAAUUUUGCAAUGCAAUUAAGGUCAAGUGCCAUGAGUAUUGGGUACUUAAGUAAAUCCAAAGGAGAAAGAAAAGAAAAAUGUUCCGAUGAUUUAGUCUAAAAAGCAUCUUUAUGCGCUAAAACAAAGCCAUAACUGGAGCUUGGAGCAACUAGGUGGCCAUGUGCCCAAGUGUAACCACAAGACAAAUACUUUUGCGAGUUCGGCUAUAACUGGACAAAUAUAAGCCCAUUAUUACUCUGAAGAGUCACAAACCAAAUUGAAAAACAACCCAUUAAAACUAGACACGUAAGCCUAUUCCAGAUAUAAGCCCAAAAGAUCACUUCACAGAGGGGGCACAACAUUGCAAGGCACCGGAGGUUUCAAGUCAAUACCUAGAGGCGAUUGUACUUGAACAAAAGUAGAAGGAAGUUAGUUAAAUCAUAAAGUCCUCGGGUAGUUUCUUAUUUAUCAAAAGCUACGGAGUGUUUUGCAGUCCAUAAAACUACAGACUAAUUCUCAAUUUCGAUUAAAACCAGAUACACCUGUUCAAGUAGAUGUAAUGCCAUCGACCAUCUCAGAGUAAAACAAGAAUAAAAAGGCAAAGCAUACUUUAUAGAUAAAUAAUAACCUAAAAAUAUCUAGCUAAACAACCCAAUGCCUUUAAUUUCAAAUUGCCUAUAUCAAUUUGCUAAAGAACUCCAUUUUUCCUGAUAAGUAAAACAUAGCAUGUUUGACCAAUCAGGCAGAGCAUCACGAACAACAAUUCAUAAUUACGGUGUCUACAGAAGCAUAAAAUUAUGGAUUCCAAAAAUCUAGUUUAACUACAAAUGUCGAAGCAUUACGUUAAGCAAAUAUAAUAAUACAUUAUAAGCCUUUUGGGGACAUAAUAUGAACAUCUAUGUAAAAUACUACAAUUGCCCGAUAAAUGAAAACUGUUAUUAUAUCUAAUGCAACCAACUUAUUCUUUAAUUUCUUAAACUAAAGUUAUGUUAAGAUAUGCAGACCUCAUCAAUCAUCACGAGUGUAUGUGUGUGUAUAUACACACACCCACAAGCAAUCGAAAACUAAUCAAGAACAUCAAGCUAAUACACCCCCUUGCGAGAGCAAUCAACUGAAUCAAGCAGACAAUGCCUAAGUGGACACAACGAUAAGGAUACUCAAAUCUCUAAAAUCAGUGAAAAAUACCAGCAAGAAGACUUAUGCCACCAAGUCAUCACAUAACCUUAGAUUGGUGUAUUACAAUGUACUUAACAGUUUAGGCAUACAUACUUGAUACUAGCACAACUGAGUUUAGAUAACAAUACAUUAUAAAUGGAAAACAUAAGAAUGUUGUAUUGAAUGUUUAAGGUUGUAGGUACGUCUAAAACUGGAUUUAAAAUAAACAAAGUUGACAACAAAAUAACAACAUAUACUCUAAAUGUCCUUCCAACACUCGAACACAUAGACACACAUUGCUGAGUUUAAAGCAAUCCAAAAUGCUAUGACUUCUAUGUUUAGUGUACUAUAAAAUAUAACUGUUCGUAUAAAAUAUUCUAACUUUUUAGCAAAGGGCAGCAAUCCAUUAGUAAUAUUUUAAAGUACUAAUUGCACUAAAAUAAAUCAUGGCUAGUAAAGUAAAAUUAGAACAGUUGAUAUUAGUUCAACAUACCACAUAGAAUGUCAGUGAGCACCAACAAGUAAGAAGGCCUCCGAGAGAUGAUCCAUCCCGCUCAGCUUCCGAAGCCUUAACUCCAUCUACACUAAUGACUAAACCCUUAAACCCUUAUUUAUAGUACUUUAAUACCUUUAAAUUUUAUCACAGUGGGCUCCAUUGUUGAUAAUUGUGCCCGAAGAAGAGAACGCUCUCAUAUAGAACCCCUCCUAUUUCCAAAGGAAGAAGAAGAAAGAGCGAAAAAGAACGAAACCUUAAGAAGCAGUGCUGAAACCGUAGGGGAACCAAAUAACCGGAUGUAACCCGAAUACCCGGACCAAUAUCCGACUCCGACCCGAACAGUAGGAGAACCAAAUAACCGGCUGAAACCUGAAUACCCGACCCAAAAACCCGAUCCGAAUUGUACGAACUGUAAAUUUCCCAUAGUGUAACUGCACGAACUGUAAACCACUGGUGAACAGUAGAGAAGCCCUAACCGUACGGUAACAAAAGCGACGCGUGCGGGCGCGUCGUUUGUCCAAAUCGACUACCCUACCUCCGUCCAUCUUUGUGUUAGGUUUACACAGCCAACUAGCUUGCACGUAUUGAAAAAUGUUUUAUAUUAAGUCGGUAAUGGACUUGAAGAGUUUUUAAUAGGUUACAAAGGGUGUAACUGGACAAAAUUAACUUGACUCCAAAAUGCAUUGAGAAAUUAUUUCAAGUGAAAUGAAUCAAAUGAGUGAGAUAUACUCAAAAAUACCGGAAUCUAGAGGACUGAAAGUUGAAAUUCAGCUACUUCAAAUCGUCCGCCAAGAGGAAACAUCGAUCAGCUCAAGUCUCUCCUUCAUCACUCCCUCCCUUCGAAAUGUCGCAACACAACCAGAUCUACCGGUUUUAUAUGUGAGAGAGAAGAAGCCACUACAUCUUUGAGGUGAUCUCCACUCCGCCGCUACCAAAAAUCUCACCCACCGCAGCCUAGAUAUACAACCAAAUAGAUCAGAAAUUGAGAAACAGAGUAUGUAUAACUCUAGAGAGCAGGCAGAGAUCUUUUUGAGAUUUGAAGGAAAAGAGUAUUUUCAGAGUUUGAAAGAACACAGAUAAAGUGAGAGAAAAGAAAUGAUAGAUUUUAGCUUACAUUGCAUUACUUUUAAAACGACGGGUCAUCUGAGUAUGGGCCAAAUAUAAAGUUAUUAUGAUACAGUUAAACUCAUAUUUUAAAUAUCAA